rnacentral:sRNA from 1 species
UGCGCUGUUUCCGUGUGGAUCGGGUCUAUCGGGCCGUGACUGACUAUGUGACUGUAACAAUGGGAGAGAAGUAUGUGCAGCCCCCAAUGAUCAGCUUUGAAGCUGUUUUUGAGCAGAGCACUCCACAUUCGCCCGUUGUGUUUAUCCUGAGUCCUGGCUCCGACCCUGCCACUGAUCUUAUGAAAUUAGCAGAGCGAAGUGGUUUUGGAGGAAAUCGCCUCAAAUUCCUUGCAAUGGGUCAAGGUCAAGAAAAGGUGGCCCUGCAGCUGCUGGAGACGGCGGUGGCUCGGGGGCAAUGGCUGAUGCUGCAGAACUGCCACCUCCUGGUCAAGUGGCUGAAAGAUCUGGAGAAGUCCCUGGAGAGGAUCACCAAGCCCCACCCAGACUUCCGCCUGUGGCUCACCACGGACCCCACCAAGGGCUUCCCCAUUGGGAUUCUGCAGAAGUCCCUAAAGGUUGUCACCGAGCCACCCAAUGGGCUGAAACUCAACAUGAGGGCAACUUACUUCAAGAUCUCUCACGAAAUGCUGGACCAGUGCCCGCACCCUGCCUUCAAGCCGCUGGUCUACGUGCUGGCGUUCUUUCAUGCUGUGGUGCAGGAGAGAAGGAAGUUUGGGAAGAUUGGCUGGAACGUGUACUAUGAUUUCAAUGAGUCUGACUUCCAGGUCUGCAUGGAAAUUCUGAACACAUACUUAACGAAAGCCUUCCAGCAACGGGACCCAAGGAUCCCGUGGGGCAGCCUCAAGUACCUAAUUGGAGAGGUAGGGGUGACCGGGGAUCCUUCCGCAGGUGCCUCUGGGGCUACAGAGCUGUGGCCUCGUGCCCCUAUUUUCCUGAGCCCUCAGAACCAGCCUCUUCUGCCCCUGUGUUCCCCUUGGGUUUCUGUGACAUUCUCUCUGCUCUCACCUGGUUGUUCUUUGUCCUAAGUGAGCUCUGUUCACACGGAGGUUCCCUGAGCUGGAUCCAUGGCUGGGGAUCCAGGCGAGGCAUCCUCUAGCCCCUUGCCUCAGCUGUUGCUGUAUACAGAGCUCACAGGAAGCAUCCCCGGUGGUCUGCACACGGCUCAGGCAGUGACAUCAAUUCCAAAGACAGAAGCAGCUGCUGGCUUCUUCAGCUGUUUGUUUGAUGUGUUUGGCGGACUUUGCCUGCUGCACAGGAGCUCCCAACACUUCCUGAGGGUUUCUUACUGCUUUGGGCCCUAUCCCUUGGGAAGCCAGCAAAGCCACAGAUCAAUUGUGUGAACAGUGGCCCGAAAGGUUAUGCAAGUCAACAGGUUCGAGCCUUGCAGCAGCCAGGCUGCUGGAGUCUCUUGACCCUGGGCGAGCCUCUGGCCCCGGGCCCCCAGGGUGCACACAGUAGGUUCUGAGCUCCUGGCUGGCUCUCAGGCCCUCUAAUUUCAGGUCAUGUAUGGAGGACGGGCCAUCGACAGCUUUGAUCGCCGCAUCCUGACCAUCUACAUGGAUGAGUACCUGGGGGACUUCAUUUUUGAUACUUUCCAGCCAUUCCACUUCUUCCGGAACAAGGAAGUGGACUACAAAAUCCCUGUUGGUGAUGAAAAGGAGAAAUUUGUUGAAGCCAUCGAGGCCCUCCCGCUUGCCAACACGCCAGAAGUGUUUGGUCUCCACCCCAACGCUGAGAUUGGCUAUUACACGCAGGCGGCUCGAGACAUGUGGGCUCACCUGCUGGAGCUGCAGCCUCAGACAGGGGAAUCCAGCAGUGGUAUCAGCCGCGAUGAUUAUAUUGGCCAAGUGGCCAAAGAAAUAGAAAACAAGAUGCCCAAAGUCUUUGACUUGGACCAGGUGAGGAAGCGCCUCGGAACAGGACUCUCCCCCACUUCGGUGGUGCUCCUGCAGGAGCUGGAACGCUUCAACAAGCUUGUGGUCCGGAUGACCAAGUCUCUGGCUGAACUUCAAAGGGCCUUGGCUGGAGAAGUUGGAAUGAGCAAUGAGUUAGAUGAUGUGGCCAGGUCUCUUUUUAUCGGGCAUAUCCCUAAUAUCUGGAGAAGGCUUGCUCCUGACACCUUAAAGUCCCUUGGAAACUGGAUGGUCUACUUCCUGCGGCGGUUCAGCCAGUACAUGUUGUGGGUGACCGAGAGCGAGCCCAGCGUGAUGUGGCUCUCGGGGCUGCACAUCCCUGAGUCCUACCUCACGGCGCUGGUGCAGGCCACCUGCCGGAAGAACGGCUGGCCACUGGACCGCUCCACCUUGUUCACACAAGUGACCAAAUUCCAGGAUGCAGAUGAAGUGAAUGAGCGGGCGGGACAAGGAUGCUUUGUCUCAGGACUGUACCUGGAAGGUGCUGACUGGGAUAUAGAAAAAGGAUGUCUUACCAAGAGCAAACCCAAGGUGCUGGUUGUGGACCUGCCCAUCCUGAAGAUCAUCCCCAUUGAAGCCCAUCGCCUCAAGCUGCAGAAUACUUUCCGGACCCCUGUCUACACCACCUCCAUGAGAAGGAACGCCAUGGGAGUCGGCUUGGUUUUCGAAGCUGAUCUCUUUACCACGAGGCACAUUUCUCACUGGGUGCUGCAAGGAGUAUGCCUCACCCUGAAUUCUGAUUAACCUUUGGGUGAAGAAAACUGCUUAAUGAAUUCGGAGCCUGGGGUUGUCAGGAAGAGUGAUCGGGUCUGCUGUCAUUUCUUGGGGCCUCUCAAGAGGCAGGAGGGGGACUGACACUGAUUUUUCAUUUGAAAUCAGCCACUUAAAUCUCUUUCCAUACAAAUUAACCUGAAUGGUUUUGUUUUUAAUACUACUUUUUAAAAGGAAUUUAUAUAAUCAAAAAGUAAAUAUUGGAGAGU